AUCCUCAUGGAAACCUGUGACUAGCACCCAUAAAAAGGAAAUAAUUAAAAAUUUUGGAUAGUAAAAUGUGGUCUCGAAUGUAAAUACAAAGAAAGGUUGGAAAAGGUUCUGAACAUAACAUUAUUAAACCUAAUGCAGUGCAUGGAAAAUGGUCACCCAGAGGACUCACUGCGGAUAUUCAAAGAUACCAGAGACCAAUGCAACAGAAUAGAGGGAAUUGCAACCAGCGACUAAAAGAUUAGCAAGGAUGCAAAUCUUAUGGAUGUGCUCCUAGGUGCAAGUUCAUCAUCAAGGAACAAGGGACAAAGAAAUGAUACAAUGAAGUUCUACCUGAUGUCUUCGUGUCAUCCUAUUCCUGUGAUGCUUUCUUUGAUGCAUCUUUGCCCCUUCUGAAGUAGGUUCUACUGGAUCUCGAGUAGAUGAAGUAAAAUGCAAGCGAGAUCCUGAAGGCUUCUGCCGAACAUCAAUGGCCAGAAUUGACCCAUUUCUAAGCCCAGAUAAGACCACAUUUCCCUGCCACAUAUUGGAAAAAAAAAUAUAGCCGGCAUAUGAAAGUCUUAACAAUACUAACUGAAAAUACAAGCACAAUGAACAUUCGUGCAGAAGAUGGCUAGUAAUAAUAGGUUACGAUUUCAAAAAUGUAUCCUACUGCCAGAAAGUUAAUCAAGCUUGGUAAUCAAGACAUAUCCUGACUUAGGCUCGCCUAAAAGCAUAACCCAAAAAUCACCAGCAAAUACACGACGAGAAUAAAUAGAGAAGGUAAAGCUGAACCCUUACGAUCAAUCGCCAACCUAAUUUAUGAAUCUUGACCAACUUAUAAAUUGAAUUUUAGAAAAAAAAUCAAUUAUUAUUGUUAAAAUACUGUGCGUGUGGCUGAUGGGGAGUAUAUCACGUGCUUCACCCAUGAAAACACGUGAUAUAACAUGUUUUGUCUCAGUGUGUCUCACGAGUGUAAGGUUCUGUAUCCAGAACAUUCCCUAUAUAUCAGUUAUAAAUAACAGAUCCCUUGACGUGAUCUGUAAUGAUUGAGAGACCUGAUUUCCUCCCCUUGUGUUCAAAUAAAGUUCAAUUUUUCUCCCUUCCACAAGAAGGUUUCUUGUUCUGUGUCAAGACACAAAGGAUUUGGAGGAAUUGAAACAAUUAUGAAUGAAACAUAAAUACAGAAGGAUUGAAUAAAUCAAAUCACACACGUAACCUUAAUUGUUGAUGAGAGUUGAAAAUAAGAACACAAUUUUUUUUGUACAAAUUUACCCACUAGUAUCCAAUCCAACAAAUACUACAUGUAACGUCAUAACUUCACCAGCAGAGGAAAGUCUAGGGACAAGGAAGAAAUUUUUUGGCUAAUAUCAGAUAGAAAAGGACAGUUUAAGAUGACAGACCAAAAGCACACGAGGACACAGAAUAAUGGUGACCAGCAUUAAACUAGUUGAUAAAAGCUUUAAAUAUGAAUAAUAAAUAAUGGUGCUCAUGGAAAUCUACAAAAAGGAAUGAUACGCAGAAUACCGAUUGGUCAAAUUUUUGUGAGAAAAUAUCACUUUUAGUGCGGUAAAGCCAAGAUAAUCUUCCAGUUUCUAAACUUAACAGGGCUGCUCCUUGGUUUGUCCCUAGAAAAAAGGCACAAGAGCUUAAAGCUAUCAAUGAAAUUGGUAACAAGCUUUUCAAAACAAUAUUAAAGGAGAAAUAACACAUGAAGCCUACACGAACUAUUUAAUCACUUUCGACUCCAAGUUUUCAAAAACAAGAGAAAAGGGUUUAAAUUCAUUAAAGAUUGGUAUAGUAAAGCUAAAAAUGUUGAUUAACAAACAAGUACAUAUAAAGGUUGAACAUAAAAAUAGCUGUCACUUACAAAAGAGAAACAAGAAAAAACAUCUACGUUUCACGGAAUUCGAACCGCACUCAAUCUGAAUGUUAACAAGUGGGAAGACGUCUUUCCUAUUUUACCAAAUUUAAAAUGGACUAAGGAAGGAGCAUCUUAACAGGUUACUCGAGAUACAUACAGAUCAAAACGAAACACUAUCGAAAGUUUGAAAUCAUACUAUUCAUGGUCUCUUGCAGCAUACAGGCUUUAUUUGCUGGCACUAUCGUGGAGUAAGAUUGAAUAUGUUGGUAUCAUAGCUGAAAACAUCGGGAUAAUAUCGGAAAACGUGAGAACAUAGUUCAGAUGCUAAGGGUGUGUGCAAGUUGAAAUUAUACACAAAAACAUUAAUUCCAUUUUAUACUUAUUUUGCAUCCCAAUCGUAAUAAAACCACAAGUUCACCACGCAUUACAUUGGAAAAAAUUGAUUACAACUAAAACAUCGCAUGUCAUAUCAAAUAUGACAUUCCAUAACAUGUCACAUUACGGUCAGUGAUAAAAAAAGGCACGUUCAAAACAAAUUCAGAAUCUAAAGUAGAAAUACACCUCCUGCACAAGUUAGAGGCAGGUAAUAUAGACUCGUGCAACUGGAAAAAAUAUCUGAGAAGUGAGAACUUCAACGCCAAGUUUACUGUUAAAAGUAGAAGUUGUCCCGGAAAAAGUGAUCUACUUGCACAAAUACAGAUCUAACAUUGAUCUAGAGUUGUUGAUCGAUAGAUGGGCAGAGACUUCCUAAAACCAGAAACAGACCAACUGCUUAAAAACCAUCUUCUGACAAAACAAAAAUGCAUGUAAGUUAAUAUCGGAAUAAUCUCAGAAUAAUUCUACCAUAUUCUAAACCAAUAUUUCAAGAUUUAACAGAUUUGGAUUUGCCGAUCUACCAACAAGUCAGACAAAAAUUCGCACCAUUAGUGCUCAUAUGGUAAAAUCACUUAAGAAACCGCCCAGAGGGUAUACAGACACUCGUCAACCAGUCUCAAACUAGAAAUUAGCUAGUGGAAUAAAUUAAAAAAUCAUGGAUUAUAGAACACUAUUACGCCUAGUAUCAACAAAGGAUCUUUUUAACCUGUAUGGUAUGUGUUAGUAAUAUUACGUACAAAGUUUGAGCAUGUUCCAGUCCAGAAGGAUGACAACAGAUUUUAAAAUGACACUGUUAAAAAAAUAGGAAGAAAAUAACCGUUCAGCACUUAAACGCAAAACCACCAUAAUACCCAAGAUACAUACAGGGAAAUUAAUAGUCAAGACAAAAAGUUAUUCUGUUGCUUAC
rnacentral:lncRNA from 1 species